UCAGAUUGAACGCUGGCGGCAGGCUUAACACAUGCAAGUCGAGCGGUAACAGAUCCAGCUUGCUGGAUGCUGACGAGCGGCGGACGGGUGAGUAAUGCAUAGGAAUCUGCCCAGUAGUCGGGGAUAGCCCGGGGAAACCCGGAUUAAUACCGAAUACGCCCUACGGGGGAAAGCAGGGGAUCUUCGGACCUUGCGCUAUUGGAUGAGCCUAUGUCGGAUUAGCUAGUUGGUGGGGUAACGGCCUACCAAGGCGACGAUCCGUAGCUGGUCUGAGAGGAUGAUCAGCCACAUCGGGACUGAGACACGGCCCGAACUCCUACGGGAGGCAGCAGUGGGGAAUAUUGGACAAUGGGGGCAACCCUGAUCCAGCCAUGCCGCGUGUGUGAAGAAGGCUUUCGGGUUGUAAAGCACUUUCAGUGAGGAGGAAAACCUUAUGGCUAAUAUCCAUGAGGCUUGACGUUACUCACAGAAGAAGCACCGGCUAACUCCGUGCCAGCAGCCGCGGUAAUACGGAGGGUGCAAGCGUUAAUCGGAAUUACUGGGCGUAAAGCGCGCGUAGGUGGUUUGGUAAGCGAGAUGUG
rnacentral:rRNA from 1 species